rnacentral:rRNA from 1 species
GUGGGGAAUUUUGGACAAUGGGGGCAACCCUGAUCCAGCCAUCCCGCGUGUGCGAUGAAGGCCUUCGGGUUGUAAAGCACUUUUGGCAGGAAAGAAACGGCCUUGGAUAAUACCUGAGGCAACUGACGGUACCUGCAGAAUAAGCACCGGCUAACUACGUGCCAGCAGCCGCGGUAAUACGUAGGGUGCAAGCGUUAAUCGGAAUUACUGGGCGUAAAGCGUGCGCAGGCGGUUCGGAAAGAAAGAUGUGAAAUCCCAGAGCUUAACUUUGGAACUGCAUUUUUAACUACCGGGCUAGAGUGUGUCAGAGGGAGGUGGAAUUCCGCGUGUAGCAGUGAAAUGCGUAGAGAUGCGGAGGAACACCGAUGGCGAAGGCAGCCUCCUGGGAUAACACUGACGCUCAUGCACGAAAGCGUGGGGAGCAAACAGGAUUAGAUACCCGUGUAGUCC